UGCAAAGUGUGGUGCAGUUCUGGCGUGU
rnacentral:piRNA from 1 species